rnacentral:rRNA from 1 species
UGUGAAGGUGAGCAAAUCCCAAAAAUAAACGUCUCAGUUCGGAUUGUAGUCUGCAACUCGACUACAUGAAGCUGGAAUCGCUAGUAAUCGCGGAUCAGAAUGUCGCGGUGAAUACGUUCCCGGGCCUUGUACACACCGCCCGUCACACCAUGAGAGUUGGCAAUACCCAACGUACGUGAUCUAACCCGCAAGGGAGGAAGCGUCCUAAGGUAGGGUCAGCGAUUGGGGUGAAGUCGUAACAAGGUAAC